ACGAACGCUGGCGGCGUGCUUCACACAUGCAAGUCGAACGGAAAGGCCCUGCUUUUGUGGGGUGCUCGAGUGGCGAACGGGUGAGUAACACGUGAGUAACCUGCCCUUGACUUUGGGAUAACUUCAGGAAACUGGGGCUAAUACCGGAUAGGAGCUCCUGCUGCAUGGUGGGGGUUGGAAAGUUUCGGCGGUUGGGGAUGGACUCGCGGCUUAUCAGCUUGUUGGUGGGGUAGUGGCUUACCAAGGCUUUGACGGGUAGCCGGCCUGAGAGGGUGACCGGCCACAUUGGGCCUGGGAUACGGCCCAGACCCCUCCGGGGGGCAGCGGUGGGGAAUUUUGCACAAUGGGCGGAGGCCUGAUGCAGCAACGCCGCGGGGGGGAUGGCGGCCUUCGGGUUGUAAACCGCUUUCGCCUGUGACGAAGCGGGAGUGGCGGUAAUGGGAAAAGAAGCACCGGCUAACUACGU
rnacentral:rRNA from 1 species